UGGUUCCGGCAUNGAUGAAGAACGCAGCGAAAUGCGAUACGUAGUGUGAAUUGCAGAAUUCCGUGAAUCAUCGAGUCUUUGAACGCACAUUGCGCCCGUUGGUAUUCCGACGGGCACGCCUGUUCGAGCGUCAUUACACCUCUCAAGCCUCGCUUGGUCUUGGGCACCCGCCGCGGCGGGGCCCUAAACCCGUGGGCAGCGGUCGUUCCAACACGCGACGCACUCGCAGUUGUCGGUCGAUCGUUUGUCACUCUUUUUUUUUUACAUGUUGACCUCGGAUCAGGCGGGGAUACCCGCUGA
rnacentral:misc_RNA from 1 species